CUGUUUUUCCUCCAGCUCACUGGGACAAACCCGAGCACCUCGGGGUUUUGUUUGCUGCUGGAGACACUCAGCUCAGGGUUUUGGUGGGGUAGGGCCUCACAUUUGGGGUCUCUGAGCCAGAUGUGCACCAGCAGCCUUAAUGUGUCUGUUCUUGCUGGGGACUUCUCACAGCCACAGACAAGAACCAGCCCAGUGUGAGUGCUCACUGCUGGAGGAAAGCCUUCUAAGAAGAUCCAACAAUGAAUAAUUCCAGUGAAAGCACUGCUCAGGAGUGGCCUACAACAUAUACUUCAGUCCAUGCCUUCUCUUUGUAAAGUGUGAGUAACUUAAUGGAUAAUUUACACAUGAGGUUCCCAACCUGAAAUUUAAACCUGAAAUUCCCAAUCUGAAAAUGGAACCAUUUUCUGUGAUGUGAGCUACAUCUCAUCUCAUUUGUACUCAUGCCAUUUAUUUUGCCCAAAUUAAAAA